rnacentral:lncRNA from 1 species
CUGGGUAUGUGCCUUAGUCUUGGUUCAAACCCCAGAACUGCAAAAUAAAUAGAUAAAUAAGUUUUAUUUGAGUUAUUAAUGCAGUAUUGACUUGUAUAGACUAUGAUGUAGACAGUGUGUUCAAAGUGAUUAAUAAAUAAAAUUUGUCCCCCCCCCCAGUUACUUUACCACCACCAAGCCACCUUGUCAUUAUGAGAGAUUGAAGUGAGGCAUUUACAAAUUGUAUUUAACAGUUUGAGGUGGAUACUUUCUUUUUGGAGGGAAACAACAACCAGCAUCUUUUUGUGGGGUUCUUUCUGCCCAAGGGAAUCCAAGCCACCCUGAAACUUACAAUCUCAGAUAAUUAGUAAGUUGCAAAACACAAACACUCAGAAAUGUAUUUACAGGAAAUGAAGCUCCCGAUAGAUCUAGUCCACAUGGGUUCUGGAAGUACACAAAUGGAAAAUGGCUCCGGUGGAUUAUUUAAGGGGGUACAUCAAAGGCAGGGAUAAGGUUUCAAGGGUGGAUUCUUGCUUUCUGAUAUCUUGCAGUCAGCAGGUUGACAUCUUGGCAGGUCACACCCACCGCAGGGGCUGUGUGGGCCAUGGCAGAGCAGGAAAGAGAUUCACAUUGUCCCUUGGCAAUUGACCAGAGGAAAUGUCCACUGGCCAUUCUCAGAUACGGAUGUCUCUAUCCACAAGGCUUCCAUGUGCGUGACCCACAUGCAACCCACUGAUGGCUCGUGACACCUUGUUAUCUUUUCUAGUAAGAGGCAUAGUUGGCUGUAUUCCUAUCAUUGAUCAAAACUUUUUUUUCAAAUGUGUUUAAUUUUAGCCAAGUAAGUCAACAGCUUGGCUUUAUCAGUCCCAAUUUUAUCACAUGAAGGAAGAAGCCAAAUUUAUUUCUAUUGUCUCUUACUUCCCCAGCACCUCCACUGUCCCCAAGAGUCUAGAGGCAGCAAAUGUUCAUGCUAAUGCUGUGGGGGAACACUUGGUAACCAAGGAGAGAAGCAUG